rnacentral:rRNA from 1 species
UACGGGGGGAGCAAGCGUUGUUCGGAUUUACUGGGCGUAAAGGGCGCGUAGGCGGCCGUCCCAAGCGUGCGGUGAAAGUCGGGGGCUCAACCCCUGAUCGGCCGUGCGAACUGGGGGGCUGGAGCACUGUAGAGGCAGGCGGAAUUCCGGGUGUAGCGGUGGAAUGCGUAGAGAUCCGGAAGAACACCGGUGGCGAAGGCGGCCUGCUGGGCAGUGGCUGACGCUGAGGCGCGACAGCGUGGGGAGCAAACAGG